CACGUAGGGUGCGAGCGUUGUCCGGAAUUUUUGGGCGUAAAGAGCUCGUAGGCGGUGUGUCGCGUCGGCCGUGAAAACCUGCAGCUUAACUGUGGGCGUGCGGUCGAUACGGGCAUCACUGGAGUUCGGCAGGGGAGACUGGAAUUCCUGGUGUAGCGGUGAAAUGCGCAGAUAUCAGGAGGAACACCGGUGGCGAAGGCGGGUCUCUGGGCCGAUACUGACGCUGAGGAGCGAAAGCGUGGGGAGCGAACAGG
rnacentral:rRNA from 1 species